GUUUUCCGCUAAGUCUCCUCGGAGUCGCCUUCCUGGAGCAUUUUGGUUAUUGAUCCGGCAGAAAGGCCGCAGCUCUGAGGCUGUGCGUCCCUGGGGAGGAGGGGAGUGAGAAGGGACGUGGGCUGGCGGUUGGGGGAGGGAGUUGAUGAACUCCAGAAGAUGUAGGGCUUCCCUCAGUACCCCGGGGCCGCCC
rfam:Myotis davidii contig213357, whole genome shotgun sequence.